rnacentral:lncRNA from 1 species
CCCUGCUGACUCCCUCUGCACUCUGAUCCUGCAAGACUGGGGUUAAGGGAGAGGGGUGAGCUAUACUAGCCCAGUGAGUAGAACAAAAUAAUCAUGCUCACAUGAGAUGCAUCACAUCACAAGUAAUCACAUAUCGGACGGACGGAAACAAAACUCCCUCAAACUGUGCCCGGCCCGCAAAGAAGAUCCUCAAGUCUUGAUAUGCCAAGCCCUCUAUGGGGCUCCUCAGGUCUUGAUAUGCCCGGCCCUCUAUGGGGCUCCUCAGGACUUGAUGGGAGGGCUAAUGAAUCCAAACUAUGUCCGUCCGCAAGUUCAAUAAAGAAUGCAAUGCACAUAUUAG